CCUACGGGUGGCAGCAGUCGAGAAUCAUUCACAAUGGGGGAAACCCUGAUGGUGCGACGCCGCGUGGGGGAAUGAAGGUCGUCGGAUUGUAAACCCCUGUCAUGUGGGAGCAAAUUAAAAAGAUAGUACCACAAGAGGAAGAGAUGGCGAACUCUGUGCCAGCAGCCGCGGUAAUACAGAGGUCUCAAGCGUUGUUGGGAAUCACGGGGCGUAAAGCGUGCGUAGGCUGUUUCAUAAGUCGGGUGUGAAAGGCGCGGACUCAACCCGCGGACGGCACAUGAUACUGCGUGACUAGAGUAAUGGAGGGGGAACCGGAAUUCUCGGUGUAGCAGUGAAAUGCGUAGAUAUCGAGAGGAACACUCGUGGCGAAGGCGGGUUCCUGGACAUUAACUGACGCUGAGGCACGAAGGCCAGGGGAGCGAAAGGGAUUAGAUACCCUAGUAGUC
rnacentral:rRNA from 1 species